UACGUAGGGGGCAAGCGUUGUCCGGAUUUAUUGGGCGUAAAGAGCGUGUAGGCGGCUUUGCAAGUCCGUUGUGAAAACUCGAGGCUCAACCUCCGAGACGCCGGUGGAAACUGCAAAGCUAGAGUCCGGAAGAGGAGAGUGGAAUUCCUGGUGUAGCGGUGGAAUGCGCAGAUAUCAGGAGGAACACCUAUAGCGAAGGCAGCUUGCUGGGACGUUACUGACGCUAAGGCGCGAAAGCGUGGGGAGCGAACAGG
rnacentral:rRNA from 1 species